rnacentral:tRNA from 1 species
GCCCCUUUAGUUCAGUGGAAGAAUGUUAAAGACUUGGGUUCGAUCCCCAAAGGGGGCUCCA